CCUACGGGAGGCAUCAGUGAGGAAUAUUGGUCAAUGGACGAAAGUCUGAACCAGCCAUGCCGCGUGCAGGAAGACGGCUCUAUGAGUUGUAAACUGCUUUUGUACAAGGGUAAACCUGAAUACGUGUAUUCAGCUGAAAGUACUGUACGAAUAAGGAUCGGCUAACUCCGUGCCAGCAGCCGCGGUAAUACGGAGGAUCCAAGCGUUAACCGGAUUUAUUGGGUUUAAAGGGUGCGUAGGCGGAUUGAUAAGUUAGAGGUGAAAUGUCCGGGCUCAACUCGGGAACUGCCUCUAAUACUGUUGUUCUAGAGAGUAGGUGCGGUAGGCGGAAUGUAUGGUGUAGCGGUGAAAUGCUUAGAGAUCAUACAGAACACCGAUUGCGAAGGCAGCUUACCAAUCUAUAUCUGACGUUGAGGCACGAAAGCGUGGGGAGCAAACAGGAUUAGAUACCCCGGUAGUC
rnacentral:rRNA from 1 species